rnacentral:rRNA from 1 species
CUACGGGUUGCUCCAGUAAGGAAUAUUGGGCAAUGGACGCAAGUCUGACCCAGCCAUGCCGCGUGCAGGAUGACAGCCCUACGGGUUGUAAACUGCUUUUAUACGGGAAAAAUUCCCCGGUCGUGAAUCGGGGUUGAUGGUACCGUAAGAAUAAGCAUCGGCUAACUCCGUGCCAGCAGCCGCGGUAAUACGGAGGAUGCAAGCGUUAUCCGGAUUCAUUGGGUUUAAAGGGUGCGUAGGCGGAAUGAUAAGUCAGUGGUGAAAUCCUACAGCUUAACUGUAGAACUGCCAUUGAUACUGUUGUUCUUGAGUACAUUUGAAGUGGGCGGAAUGUGUCAUGUAGCGGUGAAAUGCAUAGAGAUGACACAGAACACCGAUCGCGAAGGCAGCUCACUAAACUGUAACUGACGCUGAGGCACGAAAGCGUGGGGAUCAAACAGGAUUAGAUACCCUCGUAGUC